rnacentral:lncRNA from 1 species
UUCUGCUGUGUCUUAAGAGUGCAGAGGGUCAAGAUCCUGAAGCCAUUUUUUUUUUCACUUUCAGGUUGGAAAAAAGCAGUGAAGUCAAUUUCAUCUUCACCUUGAGAAAUACUGUGCAGAGCAUUGAGCAACAAACAUACUGUUCUCCCAGUGUGAAGGAGAUAGAGCUGAAGCAUGUCUAUCACUAUCAGCAUCCUCCACAUACACAAAAAAAAAGCCAGUUUUUUUCAAAUGAAACAUUAGUGCUGAGUCAGCAAUGAUUUAUAACUUUUGAUUUUUGAUGUGGGGGCUAUAAGCAUGGAAAGUUCUGUUAGAUCUCUGUUCAUAGUAUUGAUAACCAGGUUUUCAAGUUUGUAGACAUUAUAACCCAAGGCAGGUUUAACUUCUUAUAUGACUGAACUGCAUUUAUGGGGUUUCUCCAAGAAAGAGAAAUAACUGAGUUAAAUGACACCAUCAGUUCUUAUAAUCAGGAGAAGGCUGGGAGUAACGUGUGGUAAAAUUAAUGGAAAUUGCAGCAAAAUCAGCAAACUUGACACCUGCUGAUAUACAAAGUCUGGAAUAAAUUGUUACAUGCUAAUCUCA